UAGAUUAUUUGUUUAUGAUGUAAAUCAACCAUAGUGCCAGAUAGAGCUGCAUAGCUCUUUUUUAACCUGUUAUGACUAGCUAAUACUUCCAGGAGUUCAGCUAAACUGUCCGCAAAACACGAUUGAAGUAUAUCACAGCGAACCACUUGUGUACUGAACGUAAAAUCAAGUGUGUGGUUCGAAGGACCAAAACUGAGACGUACACAGUAUCAAGAAAACAAACAGUUUGUUGCAAUGGUUGGCAGUAUAAUAACAAAAACGACAGCUGUUCUCCUCUCUGCAGCAACGGAUGCGUCGGAGGCAAAUGUAUCGCCAAAGAUACUUGCAUAUGCGAUCUACCGCUCAUCCUCAACCCCGAAAACAAUACAUGCGUCAAACAAUGCACACCUCCAUGCAUGAAUAGCGAUUGCGUCAACAAUACAUGCAUAUGCAAACAAGGUUAUACUAAAUAUAAUACAACUCAUUGCUAUUCUUGCGAUGAUGGAUUUGAAAUAGAUACAAACUUUACUUGUAAACCAAAAUGCGAUAAAUGCGCUAA